rnacentral:rRNA from 1 species
AUUGAACGCUGGCGGCAGGCCUAACACAUGCAAGUCGAACGAGUGGCGGACGGGUGAGUAAUGCCUGGGAAACUGCCUGAUGGAGGGGGAUAAUUACUGGAAACGGUAGCCAAUACCGCAUACCAUCGGCUGUGCCCAGAUGGGAUUAGCUAGUCGGUGGGGUGAAGGCUCACUUGGGCGACGAUCCCUAGCUGGUGUGAGAGGAUGUCCAGCCACACUGGAACUGGGAGACGGUCCAGACUCCUAAGGGAGGCAGCAGUGGGGAAUAUUGGACAAAGGGCGCAAGGCUGAUGAAGCGAGGCCGCGUGUGGGAAGGAGGCCUGCGGGUUGUACAGAACUGUCAGGGGGGAGGGGUGACCCGCAGAAGAAGAAACGGCUAGCUCCGUGCAAGCAGCCGCGGUAAUUC